UUCUUUUCAAUCAUCGAUUUUCCUUUUCAUCAAUUCACAAUCUCAAUUCACCUCGAAACCCCAAUUCCCCCAAUUGAACUUAGGGUUUUCUCGAACCAAUUGUUUCUCUCUCGUUUCCCCAAUUCCGAUCUUUCGGACAAUUUCCUACACUGUCGGUUGCCUGUAUCGGGUUUCCUGCAGGAAUUCAGAGGCUCAGUUUGAUCGUGGGGUGCAAAAGAAAGAGACUUUCUUUUGACCUGCCUUCUAAGCUUUAGUAAGGUUGUCACCUUAAUGUUGAGUUCUGGGAAUAACUUGAACAGUAGCAGCAGCAACAGUGGGAUAACUUCUUUAGAUAUGCCACCCUUGCCCCAGUGUUUACCACUAGAUUCAAUUACAGUAGGCAAUAGAAAAUAUACAGGAGAGCUGAGGAGGGUUCUUGGUGUUUCUGCUGGAAACGCAUCUGAAGACCAUUCUUUUGGAGGUCCGCAUCCUAAACCUAUGGGUCCUGGAGCCUCUGGGGAACUAAAGCACUUCAAAGAAAGUGUACAAGAUGCCUCCAGAAAGGCAAGGGAUAGAUCAAAAAUGUUUGGGGAAUCUUUGUCUAAAUUGGAAAAGUAUGAGGCAUUGAACAUAAAGAAGCGACAAAGGACUGAUUUAUCAAGUGAUAGGGGAGGUGGAGUAAACUUGACAAAGAUGGGUAACCAGAUUCACAAAACCCCUAAUGAUAAUUUAACUCAGAGAUCAGAAGCAAGGGCCUCAAAUUCAAUGCUGAACAAGCGAAUUCGUACAUCAGUGGCAGAUGUGCGGGAGGAAAGUAGGUCUGCUGCUAUUGGAAGGCCACGGGUGGUCACAGAGAAGGAUGGAAAUCUGGUUCAGACGCUUGGUGGGAGUUCUGUUCGAAAUGAAGAGAAAACUCGCAGAUUACUUGCUGGAGGUGAAGGGUUGGAUCAAAAAAUAAAGAAGAAGAGGUCUGUUGGAACUGUAGGAAACAGAGUUAUAACUGGGGAAAGGGAUGUAAAACGAACUGCUCUUCCAAAGGCAAAUGCUGAUUUGAAAAUGCGACUUUAUGAUGCUCAGGGUUUCAGAUUGAAGUCUGGACCUGGGGGAAUCAAGUCUGAGGGCUCUUCAGAGCUUACUAGUACAGGUGUGCGUGUGAUGCUUACAAGUGAGCAAGGCGUUUCUCUUCACAGGGAACACAUAGCUGAGCAGAGAGUUGUUGCCAAAGGAAGCAAUAGGGGAAACACUCCGGAGGACCCAGCCAGCAACCCUAAUACGCUAAUAAAAAACAAGGUAUCUCGGGCACCAAGAACAGGUUCAGUUGGUGCACUAGAAUCAUCUAACAUUCAACCUUCAUCUACAACAUUUCCAGGUUCUUCUAUUCAUCCAAUGACCCAGUGGGUUGGUCAGAGGCCACCUAAAAAUUCACGCUCACGAAGAGUGAAAGUAGUUUCUCCUGCCUCACGCAAUCUUGAAGUUCAGGUUUCAUUCGAAGGCUGUCUAACUUCUGAGUUCUGUGUAAAAGCUUCUUCUGCUGGCAACAAUGGAUUUCAACUUGCAAGUAGUGCAGACAACAGUACACCAAAAUAUAAAAGACCGCCUGAUGAUACUUCAUCCCCCUUUGGAUUAUCUGAAAGUGAAGAAUCUGGAGCGGGGGAAAACAAAAUAAAAGAAAAAGCUGUGAAUGGAAGUGACUUUGCUAUGGCCGCAGAUAAGGCUGGGGCUUCUGUGUUUCAAAUGAGGAAGAAUAAGAUAUCAACUGAUGAAUCUGGAGAUAGUGUGCAGAGACAAGGAAGAAGUGGAAGGAAUUUAUCAUUAGUAAGGCCAGACCUCCCUUCUGGGAGGGAGAAGUCAGAGAAUGUACCAACAAUGAAGCCAGUACAAGACAUGAAGCCUAAUGAUAAGAGUAAAACCAAAUAUGGGCGCCCUCCUUCAAAAAAGCAGAAAGAGCGCAAAAUUUUGACUCGUGUAGGGAAGCAACUGAACAUUAGUUCUCCUGAUUUUGGAGGUGAACCUGAUGAUGAUCACGAAGAAUUAUAUAAAGCUGCAAAUGCUGCUCGUAAUGCAAGCAACCUUGCUUGUUCGGGUCCAUUUUGGAAGAAAAUGGAAUCUAUUUUUGCUUCUAUCAGCUUGGAUGAUGCAUCUUACUUGAAGCAACAGCUCAAUAUUGCUGAAGAAUUUGAUAAAAGUUUAUCUCAUAUGUUUUGCAUUGAUCAUGAUCUGUUGGGUGUUGUUAUAAAUAACAAGCCAACUCAGGGUUCAGAGGAAAGAAAGAGAAGUCACUGUGAUGAAGAAUCAACUAAGUUUGAUGCUUUAGAUGGUAAGAAGGACAUGGAAAGACUGGACAAGGUUACCCCACUAUUCCAAAGACUUCUUUGUGCUCUAAUUGAAGAAGAUGAAAAUGAAGAAUCAUAUCACCAAAGUGAUGCAAAGAAUAUAUCUCGACAAUGUGCUAGUGAUGAUUCUCACUGUGGUUCUUGUAAUCAAAUUGAUUUUGAACCCAAAGAUCGGGAUAGAAUGGACUCUGAAGUUGAGUCAGAGGUGGAUCUUCAAAUUCAGAAGAACUGCAUGUUGGAUAGACUAUCUUGUGAUAAGAGCACCACAUCCAACACAUUUAGAUACCCAAACACAUCCAGCUCUUUACAAAGCACUGGAGUUUGGCAGGGAGAUGAAGAAUUUUCUCUUUCAGAUAUCACACAUACCGGCGAAAUAUGUUCAAAUGAUCUUGAUCAACUGCAGCCUGCUGAAUUAAGUGUUCCUAGCUUUCCUUCUCCUGAUGGCCAGUAUCAGCAGAUGUCACUGGAUGAUAGACUGCUGCUUGAGUUGCAGAGCAUUGGCUUAUAUCCUGAAAUAUUGCCUGAUUUAGCUGAGGAAGAUGAAGCUAUAAAUCAAGACAUUGUGAAACUUGAGAAAGCACUGUAUGAACAGAAUGGGAGUAAGAAGAAUAACUUGGACAAGAUUGAUAGAGCUGUUCAAGAAGGGAGGGAUGUGGAGAGGCAGAAGAUUGAGCAAGCUGCAUUUGACCAACUUAUUGAAAUGGCUUACAGAAAGAGAUUGGCAUGCCGUGGAAGCAAAAAUUCAAAAGGUGCAGUUCACAAGGUGUCUAAACAAGUUGCUUUGGCUUUUGUCAAACGUACUCUUGGAAGAUGUAAAAGAUAUGAAGAAGCUGACAUUAACUGCUUCAGUGAACCUACCCUACAAAAUAUCAUGUUUGCCCCACCUUCACGUGAGAAUGAUGCACAACCUGCUGAUUGCAUAGUCUCUGGGACAGCCAGCAAUACAUGUAACAAAGUUUCCCUUCAAAUUGAAGCCAGAAAAUCAGGUGCAGUUUCUAGUGUUUCUGAUAAAUAUGAUUGCCAUAGAGACUAUGCAGACAGGGGAUUGGUUGAUUCUUUUCAAGGUUCAAUUCAGUCAUCAGAGCAAGCAUCAUCCAAGAAUGGGUCCAUGUUUAUCAAGGAAAAGAAGAGGGAAAUGUUGGUCAAUGGUGGUGUCAGUGGUUCUUCCUCAAGAGCAUCAAAUCUUGAUGGUGCUGUUCAUGGUGGACUGAAGGGAAAGAGAAGUGAGAGAGAAAGGAAUCAAAGCCGGGAUCAGAGCGGACAAAAUUCUAUUGGCAGAGCUGGACGCAUAUCACUGGACAGUAGCCAAAAUGAGAACAAACCAAAAGCUAAGAAGCAAAAGAGUACUGCUAGUGGACAUGAUAGGGUUAUGGAAGCAAAGGAUUCUACUCGUUUACCAAUUCAUGAUGCAAUCAAUAAUCAUAGUAAAGAUGGGGCUACGAUAUCUGGUAAUCAGGACACUUCUCAAAUAAAGGAAUCCAAUGACUUUGGGAAUUUGCCACUACCUGACUUAAGUUCAAUAGAAGAAUUUGGUGGUACGCAAGAUCUUAGUUCUUGGUUGAACUUUGAAGAAGAUGGUUUGCAAGACCAUGAUUCUAUUGGCCUUGAUAUUCCAAUGGAUGACCUAUCAGAUUUAAAUAUGCUUAUGUGAAGGGAUGUAACUUACACUCUCCAGGUUACACGUAUCAUAUCUGAAGGAGAGUUUGUAUGUACUCAGUGAACCUUGUGGGGCAUCAAGAUCUUGAUGGUAUACUCUGGUUGCUCAUGGAGGGAAAAUUUUUGUGAUUGGAAUUAGGAAUUUUAACACAUUUUAUAGGGUAAACGGGAGAUGGGGAGUGACUUAUAAUUGGAAUUUGAUAUUUUUGUGGAAAGUUGUAUAGAGGAAGCGACAAUCAUGGGUUUCAUGAAAUUGCUGUCAGAUAUCUCCCUUCUCACAUGAAUCUAACUAGUUUUGCUGUGUUAAAGUCAUGGUCUCAGAAAUGGCUUUUCUAUAGGAGAUUAGAUUAAAGUGCUAUGCCAUUCAUAGCCUGAGGGUGGUUACAUUUCUCAAGCUGACUUCAGCUACCAUACAAUGUCCUAGGGAGCAAAUAACAGAAUGGAUAUUCUAGCAGACAGGGCAUCUUCUCCUUCCAAUGACAUACUGCCAGCUCAGCUUUUAGGUGCAGGAUGAGUCACAAAAUCAUCCAAGUGGUGUGGCCUGCUUGAUUUCCUUUUAGUGCUUGUCUCCUUCUUGUCUGCUAGCCAUUCUUCUGUGCUGGGUUGCUUCAUCAUAACAACACUUCAGAAAGCUUCUCAUGACAAAAUGCCAUGAUACUAGGCCAAUUCUGACUUUUUUGUUACUGACUUAUUAACUAUGGAUUGACUGCAUCAUUUACAAGUUACAAUAAAUCAGUAACCACUCAAGAAUUGUACCAUCGUAGAUUGAGCUAUCUUUGAUAGCGAUUCUUGCCCAAUCUCCUUCAGAAUACAAAUCAUAACGUUUCUUGUUGGAAGCAUAUGUAUUAUCACUUUAUUACUUAUGAAUUAUGUGUUGUUAUAUUCA